AACCUUGCGGGGUUGGCAGUGCACGGCGGGACGCCUGGGGCGGCAUGGUGAGAUAUAUGGUCAGGACUCGGGAGGCGGCAGCGUGGUCCUGCUCUUGAUGACGGGUAGUUUUUCUAUUUUUUGAGUGGAUGCUGCAGGUUUUGGACAAUCCGUGCGGUGGGGGAUUGGUGGCAAAUGGCAUGGGCGUGGGGUGUGGAAAUUGGUAUUACACCAUUAGGCUAAUCCUAAUCAUUAGAUGUAGCUGAUUAAGGGUGAUGAUUACGGGGACGAGAGGGACCGGCGAAAAAGUUCAGGCCUGCUCUUAGAAGAUUCAAACGGGACGAGGAUAAGAUAGUUCCACGGGAACUUGAUGUAGAUGACUCUGAUGUGGAGCCCAGAAGUGACGAUGAAAGACGGCCAGCAAGCAGAAGAGGAGGCCAAGAUGAGGAGGCUGAGCCGAUGCGAGGAAACCCACUGGAAUAACCCCGCAUCCUUCAAUGUGAAGAGAAG